GUCGCAGCCAUCUUGUGCUUUGCCUCCACUCUUUCCACGAGCAUCAGCGCCUGCGCUCCGCAGCUCCGAAGUGCUCGCCGAAUGUUGAUGGAAAGUUGUGGUGUUUCAUUUUCCUCACUGUGCAAACGUGGCGGAAACCCUACCUGCCUCAAAUGGUGAUGGUAUAGCCCAAGGCAGCAGUGACAUCGGGGAUGGGGUGCAGGGACGAUGACUUGCUCUACUCGGAUGACGCCGGGGACAAAAACGAUUACGACUCGUAACACUCAAUUACUCGCCUCAUGCUGCUUGGUGUCCAUGAUGGCGUCAUCAUCAAUUCUAUUUUAGGUUCGUAGCUUGAUGGUGGAUAGUGAUUGCCCAAACUUAUUGUAGGUUCCAGCCAACUGGUGCUUUUCCACCACUCUUGCCACGAGCAGCAGAACGGGGCUCCGCAGCUCCGACCUGCUUGCCGGCAUUAAGUUUUCACGUCAUGCUGCUCGGUGUCCACGACGAUAUCAUCAUCAACUACGGCUAUGAGCCAAAUGCAAGGAAGAUAGAGACAGCGGGAGGAGCUGUGCUGCUCGCCAGCGGACUGUGACCACAACCCUGCUCUUGCCGCGCCGAAGCUGGACAGAUACCAGCGCCGCCGACACGCUAUGAGCCCCCUGCCCUCACCCAGCUGGAGGACGAUCCACAGCUACUGCUCUUUGUGUUCGCCGUGGUGAAGUCAAUGAUCUGAUGAGAGGCACAACUUGCCUUGGGUGGCGACCACAUCGACACUAUUACGGUGCUGACGCCAGCCCAGAACAAGAGCUAGAAGGCGACCACCCCUGCCCUGGCUAUGUGGAUGACACAUAACUGCUGCUGAUGCAUGUCUUUAUUAAGGUGGUUCUGCCAUCUCUAGGGAGGCUGAAAUUCGAUCUCGAGGAUGGUGGUGCCGGAUCAUGUGAGGGUGAGGGGGCUUGCUGAGAGUGUCUUGAGGAGGGGUCCAUCCAUGGCCGCCAGAUUGGUGUAUGGGUACUUUUCCGUGGCGCUGGCAGCACGGUAGGCGAUGGCCAUGAAGAGGGCUCGGUGUGCUAGCGUGAUGAAUGGUGUACUUCUACAGGGCAUGAAGAAGGUUUCCUCAAAGACGGCGGCCCCGGAUUAUGUGCAGCUGAUGUUAGUCUGUGACACCUAUGUUGCUGCUUGCACUCGAAGCGGUGAUUGUGUGGUAAUGGCUCCAUCAAGUCGGCAUCCUCAAGCAACUUUUCAUCAGAAAAUUGGAGGAUGUGCCACUCAGGGCAUUUGACUUUGGUCUUAUCCAUGCAUAUUGUGACCAGGUCGUCCAUCCAGAUCGCCGGCUUCGCUUCGUGAGCGAUGACGUUGAUGGCAUAGGAAGCGGCUGCCAAUUAAAGGAGUUCAGCACAGGACAUCUGUCCUUGCUCAUGUUGAGCGUCAAGAACAACACUCAGCUGUGAGAUGCUCUUUGAGUUCUUGAACUGUUUGAAGAGCUUCACACGGCUCCUUCGUAUGAACAGAUCCAAGGCAAUGUCCACCAACAUCUGUGUUAGCAUUUAUAAUUUAGCGUAAAGAUGAAGGAUGGACGAGCCGGCAAGCCUCGUUCUGCCAGUGGUAGCUGAAUGUGGCGCUGGAGCGGUACACAAACAUAGUGUUUACUGUGGCGCUCAUGUAGGGAAGAGGCGGAUGUAGAAAUGGCGGUGGCAUACAUUCAUCAGUCAGGAGCAGCAGCUGGAUAUGUGCCCUAAUCCAGCAACAACAACAGCAAGGGAUAAGUGGAGUUGAUGGUGGCCUAGAGGGAUUUUGAUCGAUGUAUGGCUGCGCGUUCUGGCUUCUGGACUUGAUCUUCAACUUGAUAGAUAUGUUACAUGUUGUUUGUCAUGGUAUCUUGUUAGCUAGAUUUGUGUUUAUUGACAGCUCCCCAAGACUAUUUUUGAUGGGUAGCUGGUGUAUUUUCUCCAAGAAUAUGUGUGUUGUCGUUUUGUUAGUCAAGAAUGGAUGAGCUGACAAGCCUCGCUCAAUCAGUGGUAGCUGAACGCGAGGGUGGAGCGGUACACAAACAAAGUGUUUACUGUUGUGCUCGUGUAAUGGAGAAGCUGAUGUAGAAAUGGCAGGAACAUACAUCCAUCGAUCAGAGGAGCAGCAGCUGGAUAUGUACCCUGAUGCAGCAGCUGGAUAUGUACCCUGAUGCAGCAGCAACAAGGGAGAGGUGGAGCUGAAUAGCUGAUGGUGUCUUGGAGGGGUUUUAUUGAUGUAUGGUUGUGGGUCAAGGCUGGGUGGCCUUGAUCUUGAACUUGAUGGAUAUGUUACGUGUUGUUGGUCAUGGUAUCUAUUUAUAUAGAUUUGUGUUUAUUGACAGC